rnacentral:sRNA from 1 species
UUUUCAUAAAAAUAAGUAUUGUAAAUAUAAAUCAUCUUAAAGUUACUUUUUAUUCUUGAAUAUUUAGCAGUUUAGUACAGUUACUAGUCUUUUGUUGCUGUGCCAUAUACCUGGUUUUUCCAUAACAGUUUAAUGAGUUGAAUAAUUCCAUGUGGAAUUAUGUUUAUUUUCCUCAGGAAGUGGUAUAUAAGAUACAUAUUUUAUCCUCAAAUGGAAGGAUGUAGUUUCUAAACAUAAAGUCCUGUUAAUGCAGUUACCUGCUGAUUUUAUAAUACUAUAAUAUUUGUGUAUACUUUGGAAAGCCUUAAAAAAGUUUUGAAUUCUAUUUUGAUACAGUAAGCAGGGUUUUAAUUACACGAUAGAAUUUUAAAGAGACAAAAUUAAAAUAAUGUUUAAGUAGAAUGUUUUCAUGGUUGAUCCAGAAGUCUUCUGUUAAGCAGUAAGUAUUCUUCCUUAUAAAAUUUUCAUAGUUGUUAUAAAUCCUGUUUAUUUUUGGAGCUAUCUGAUAACUAAAUAAUCUUCCUUAUUUCUUCUUUUAAUGAAAUGUUUGAUUUGUUUCUCAAUCAAUGAAGAUCCAGCUCCAGGUCCCACAGGGGCUCUUCUUCCCCACGAAAAAGAUCUUAUUCAAGUUCAUCAUCUUCUCCUGAGAGGAACAGAAAGAGAAGUCGUUCUAGAUCUUCUUCAUCUGGUGAUCGCAAAAAAAGACGAACAAGAUCACGGUCACCCGAAAGGUUUGGGUUUCUGUAGAAAUAAGAAUGGGUGUUCUUAAGUGUGUUUAAUAGAUAAAGUAAACUUUCCUAGUCAAGGGUUAGAUUUUUAUUAUCUCUUGUGUUCCAACUUUCUACUUUUCAACUUUGAACUUCAAAAAAACAUUACUUUGUUUAUCCUUUGUACUUUGAUCAGGUUGUUUAGAAUUGUAGAUCAAACCAUUCUUUGAUCAUUUUAUUGUUUAAAUUUUUAUUUCCAUUUAUAAUUUUUAUAGCCAACUCUCGGUUAUUUCUGUCUUUUGAGAUUGCAAUUCAGAAGCUAUAUGUCGAAGUAAUUUAUGAGUUGACUUUUAUACUUAGGCUUCUUUAAAUACUAAUAGUCAAGAAUUCUAGGGCAUCUAAUAAAAAAUUAACUUUCAGAUCAUUGGGAAUCUGUCCUCAUUUAAAUAUGUGUAAAUGCAUUUCCACAGCAAAUUGCUUCAUCCCCUUUGUCUAUAAGGAAAUUAUUCCUUGUAGCUAAUACAUUUUUCAUUUUGCAGUCCAAAUCUUUUUUGAGAAAGGCCUAUAUUAGGUUACUUUAUCUGUACUGACACUUUUAAUAUUGGAAGAGUACAACUGUCAUCUGUCAGCCUUUUCUGCAACAGGCUAAUUACUCAGUUUCAUUAAUUUUCUCUUUGUUCUCAAUUAUAUAGUCAUUUUAAUGGCUUUAUUUGUAGUCUUUGCAAAUUUUUCAUAUUUUAUUAGCUUGUGAAAAUAAAGAUUAUGUAAAGUCUGUUAAUUGCUGGGUUCAGUGGUAGGAUUAUCUCAUGAUUCCUACUUGUACAAAUGAUUAGUUUUGCUUCUUCACAUUUUGGAGUUUAGAUGUUAAGAUUUCACACAGUCUUGUUUCUCUGCAUUUGUUUCUUUGUAAAAAAAAUUACUCUGUUUUUGAGUGGAAUUCAUUCUGUUGCUUUCUUACCACUUCUGCAAAUUUUUAUCUUAGCCACAUAUAAUCCCCCUAGUUUGUUGUCAUCUAAACUUAAUGAACAUGUUCUCUAUUCCAUAAGCCAGGUGAUUGGUGAAAACACUAAACAACCCUGAGCCCAGGGCCAACCCCUACGGAACACCACUACUUUACCCAGACGCCACAGGUCAUCUUCUGGAUCAUCCCAUUCUGGUUCCCGUUCAAGUUCAAAAAAGAAAUAAUGUAUUAAAAUUUACAUCUUAAAAAAAUCCAGUACAGUGCAUGAAGCAUAUUUUUAAAGAAGUUGGUGUCUUACUUGGUCAGAAGUGCUAAAUCUGCUAGUAGAGGUGCAUGCCUUUCAUUGCUUUUCAAAACAAUACAGCUGUGUUUAUUUGUGAAGUUAAAAUUAAAUAGCAUUUUAAGCCAUAAUGUCCCAAAAUAGAUGCUCUGUCAUUCAUUAUUUACAACCAUUUGCUUCAUUUAAAACCAUUUCAGCUAUAACAAAGUACUUUGCUUCCUAAUUUAAACCCAUUUUUGUCAUUUCCAAAUACAUCCUGUGCAUUGGCUAAGACAGGAUUACCUAGGCUUGCCUGAACUUUGGGCAUGGAGGCAAGACUGGAAACUAGUUGGAAACAACAUACUUAUGGGAAAGAAAGUCAGCCUGUUUAUGCUGUUAACAGAUGUCAGAGUGAUUCUCACCAAAAAAAGUUAAACUAUGUUGUAAGCAGCUAACUAUAAAUGUCUAUUUUGAAAUUCCCUAUGCUAAGGGUGCCUUAGAAUCAUUGUGUCUCUUUUAUCCAGCUUUACUUUUUUGCUCCACAUUUAAUGCAAAAGAAUCUUGUGACGUCUACAAGGAGAGAAGUGGGAUAUAUUUUCCUUUCUGACAGAUAAUUUGUGGCAAAAAAGAAUGUCCUAAGAGUUUAUCUCUUCUCUGCUGAUAUGGUUGCUUGAUAAAGACAUCUCAAAAUGUUUACCAGUGUUUUAAGAAGCUUUGUGUGAUAUUCUUCCAAAUCUAGUUAACAAAUAUAAUAUGGUAGAAAAGGCUAAAUCAUACUUAAUGAGCAAAUUGAAGCAAGCUUUUAAAGUAUAUUUCUCUUUUGGUGAAAGGCCAAUGGAGACAUUGUGAAUUUAAGUGAACAUUUGCCUCAAGAUGUUAACUAUAAACACACUGCAUACAAUUUUCUUCUGAGUAACAAAUGAAUGCUUAUCUCUGCAUGAUGUAAGCAAAAAUCAUUAUUUUUCCUAUUCAUUUGAAAUAAGUUAUGGCUUAAAAUGCUUUCGGAGUUUAUUUCUCAAAAUUAAAAUCUGGUCACAUGAGCUUCAGUUUGUUUUCUGGUUUAAAAAAUAAAAAGGUUUCUCUUAACAGUAUUUCCAGUGACAAUGCAAGGUAAGUAUAUCAAAGGAAAUCAACAAUUGUGUUUGGGGGCUUUUUGUUAUGGGAUAUUGAUUUCUUGUUUUUUUUCCAUAACAUUGUCUGCUGCAAUUUAAAUAAAAAUUACGACAUUUUAAGAUAUUUCGUAGACAAACCAAACAAAAAUAUAUGUUUUUACUUUAAAGUGAAUGUUUUUCUCUUCAGCUGAUCUAAAAAUGAAAGCAAAAUAUCUUAUGUAGAAAUAUUUUGAUAAUAUUUUUACAGUGAGCUUUCCCAUGUUUUUGUCUUAAUUUUCUUUGCUGCGUUUAUGUAGGUUGCACAAGAACUUUUACUCACUUGUAAUUGUGCCUCAGACUUUUUGAAAGUCUACCUUCUAAAUUGCCCAGAUGAUCUAGAUUCUACAUGUUACCAUUGGUUUAUUCUUGUGCUUUCUGUAUUUAAAACUUUGGCUGUACUAAAGCAAAUGCAAGGUUAUAAUUUAGCUAAUAGUAGUUUACAGACAAUUCUGAUGAUUAUGAUUUCAUUUGGUUUAACUAAGCUGUACUAGUUCAUUUCAUAAGGAAAUGAUACUGUAGACAAAUGUAAAUAAAGCCUGUGAGUCAAGCAUCAAGUGGUGUUUGUUAGAAAUAAACUAGAGAUUUUUAAA